rnacentral:rRNA from 1 species
GGCCUAUACAUGCAAGUCGAGGGGUAGAAAGGGACUAGUUUACUAAGAACUUUUGAGACCGGCGCACGGGUGCGUAACACGUAUGCAACCUACCUAUAACUGGGGCAUAGCUCAGAGAAAUCUGAAUUAAUUCCCCAUAAGACUGUAGAAUCGCAUGAUUCAGCAGUUAAAGUUCCGGCGGUUAUAGAUGGGCAUGCGUUGUAUUAGCUAGUUGGUGAGGUAACGGCUCACCAAGGCUACGAUACAUAGGGGUUCUGAGAGGAUGAUCCCCCACACUGGUACUGAGACACGGACCAGACUCCUACGGGAGGCAGCAGUAGGGAAUAUUGGUCAAUGGACGCAAGUCUGAACCAGCCAUGCCGCGUGCAGGAAGACGGCCCUCUGGGUUGUAAACUGCUUUAUAUAGGAAGAAACCCCUGGAUGCGUUCGGGGCUGACGGUACUAUAUGAAUAAGGAUCGGCUAACUUCGUGCCAGCG